rnacentral:misc_RNA from 1 species
GUCUAUGAAGGCUGGAGAC